rnacentral:lncRNA from 1 species
CACUUAUCACAUAUCAUCACAAUCGGCCCAACACCAUUCAACCCAUGAUCAGUCCUAAAUAUCCAACCAAACCCGAUUAUAACCAAUCCAUUAAAAUCAAAUACUCCAUAGUUUCACCCGAUUUCUCUCUCAUAACCACUCUCUUGCCGCUGCCGCCUCUAAUCACCAUCAUGCCACCACUUCAUUAUCUAUUGUACCCAGGCAUCCAGAGCACUACCUCUUCAUCGCCAUAGGCCAUCACCACCUACCCAAGAUCGUACACUUCCACCACAAUUACCACACUCAUAUAUUUUCUCGUCCAUCUCAAUAAUCUAAAAGCCACAGUCGUUACACAGUUUUACGUCCACACCAAAACCAGCACAAGUUACAGUCUACAGGGGCUAAAACCAUUGGAUACGAAGGGAAGAACAGAAGCUUCCAGCCCAAUACCCGACUAUAAAAAGCUCUUUUCUCAUCUCCAUCUUCUGCCUCGUCCGG